rnacentral:rRNA from 1 species
GAGUNNNUAGAGGGGGGUAGANNCAGUGUAGCGGUGAAUGCGUAGAGAUCNGAGGAAUACGNNGCGAGNNGCCCUUGACGAAGACUGACGCUCAGUUGCGAAGCGUGGGGAGCAACAGAUAGAUACCUGGUAGUCCANNCGUAAACGAUGUCGACUGGAGGUUGUGCCCUUGAGGCGUGGCUUCGGAGCUAACGCGUUAAGUCGACGCUUGGGGAGUACGGCCGCAAGGUUAAAACUCAAAUGAAUUGACGGGGCCCGCACAAGCGGUGGAGCAUGUGGUUUAAUUCGAUGCAACGCGAAGAACCUUACUGGUCUUGACAUCCACGGAAGUUUUCAGAGAUGAGAAUGUGCCUUCGGGAACCGUGAGACAGGUGCUGCAUGGCUGUCGCCAGCUCGUGUUGUGAAAUGUUGGGUUAAGUCCCGCAACGAGCGCAACCCUUAUCCUUUGUUGCCAGCGGUCCGGCCGGGAACUCAAAGGAGACUGCCAGUGAUAAACUGGAGGAAGGUGGGGAUGACGUCAAGUCAUCAUGGCCCUUACGACCAGGGCUACACACGUGCUACAAUGGCGCAUACAAAGAGAAGCGACCUCGCGAGAGCAAGCGGACCUCAUAAAGUGCGUCGUAGUCCGGAUUGGAGUCUGCAACUCGACUCCAUGAAGUCGGAAUCGCUAGUAAUCGUGGAUCAGAAUGCCACGGUGAAUACGUUCCCGGGCCUUGUACACACCGCCCGUCACACCAUGGGAGUGGGUUGCAAAAGAAGUAGGUAGCUUAACCUUCGGGAGGGCGCUUACCACUUUGUGAUUCAUGACUGGGGUGAAGUCGUAACAAGGUAACCGUAGGGGAACCUGCGGCUGGAUCACCUCCUU